CGGUAGGGAAGUAGGUUUUUAUACGUAUUUAACUGUCGUAUCCCCUACCCCCACCCCAAAACCCUCAUCUUCUUCACCUUACCCAGCAUCUGUAACGCCGCCGGUAAGAAAUCGCGUCCACCAGUGGCCGGUGUCAAAUGGCUCCAAAAAUUACACCCAUACACGGCCUCAACAUACCCGUCACAAAUCCCUCACUAUAUUCAUUCGAAUCUUAUUUGAACCCUUCAAAUAUUCAAAACAGUCAUCGUUAUCGUCAUCUCCGCCGUCCACGGCGACGCCACCUCCAAACGUCACCAAAAAUAUACCCCUGAAUCUCCUCUUCCCCCUUAUCUCAAAUCCAGCCUUAACUUCCUUCAAAUAACAGCCAAACGGUUCAAAUAGUGAAUCAAAAUUUAGGACCAAAAUGCAAGAAUGUCCAAUCCUCAUCAAAUUCAUACCCUACACUCUCCUAAGAUCCCUCAUCCCCAAUUUCCUACAAGAUUUCUUCGAAUAUCACCGGAACCUUUCGAAUUUCAAAUUGAAUUUUGGCCGAAAAACCCUAAUUCCUUAAAAGUUUGGGAGUAUUUGAUUUUGGGAUAUUAUUGCCCGUAAUUUUUUCAUGAAAACACAUGAUUAAGGGCGGUUGUGAUCCAAAAUACUAAGGAAAACUCAUUCGAAGUCAGUCCUGUAGAAGACCAUAAUAGUGAGUUCUGUUUCUUUUCCUUCUUAUUUGUUUGAUUUUCACUUCUUUUGUUUCUGUUUUUAUAAUUGUUAAUUCCUAGUUUAAUAUUCGUUUUUAACUUUGGUGAAUUUUGUUCUGAUUUUGUGUUCUUAUUUUGUGCUUGACUUUCUUUCUAAUUGUCUGUUUGAUUAUAGUUCGUUUUGAUUUCAGAUUUUAGCUUGAUUAUUAGUUUAAUUUUAUAGGAUUAGAAUUUGUUCUCUUUUGAUUUCUUACUUGUUCUGUUCUUGAAAUUGUUCAAGUUUUAGUUUAAUUCUAUUUCACUAAAAUUUUAGAUAUUAGUUCAACAUUUUAUUUUGAUAGUUUUCAAUCGACCUUGUUUGGGUUUAUCUCAUCUUAAUUUGUUGUUUAGUAUUCCUUUAUGGUUGUUACUAGUUUCUUUAAUUAGUUUAUUUUAGUUUUGUCAAAAAUUAUUAUUAGUAUUCCCUUAGUUCAGUAUUUAAUUAGUGAUUAGGUUUAGUCCAAAUUUUUUAGUUAUAGCUGAGUUGGAGGUACCUGGUUUAACUAUGGUUGAACUUUAACUGGGAUGAAAGGGGCUGAGGUUUUAAUUAGGCUAGUUCAAUAUUUUUGGGAUUGAAUAAAGGGUAGUUUAGGUAUUCCCAUGUAGAGAAAAUAUUGUAGAUAAAGCUAGAAUUCACUAGACCUUUCUAGAAUAGGGAUUUAGUUUAAAUUUCAACAAUUUUAGUGUAGUGACUUGAGUAACAAGUCGAAAAUAAGGGAUAAAUAAGUAAAACUGAAAAGUUAAAAGAGGGGCUAAGGGUGUAAAUAAAAAUUGGAAACUUCCCUUUUGCUUUUCCUGUAAAAGGUAGUCAUUACUGCCUUGUUUGAGAGGUUUUUUAGCAUCUGAAAAUUUCCCCUAAAAUUUUUCAUAUAUCAGCACAAGGUGAAAUUUGAAUUUCAGAUCCACAAGUCAGAUCUAGAAUUUGAAACUCUCUUAGAUCUUAGUUUAUUUCAUAAAACAAAAAAACACAGAAUAGGUAAUAGAAAACUCCUACAAAAAAUGUUGUUUCAUUCAAAGAAGUGUUGGUGUGAUUUCAAGUGUGUUUAGGUUCAAUCACAUCUGGUUUCAUUUGCUUUUGGUGUUUAUUCUUCUGCAAAUUAUUUUUGGAUCUCUGUGGUAUUUUUGGGAUCUGAAAUCGAUCCAACUGCCUUGGCUCUGGGCUGAUGUCUGCUAUUGUUUUAGCUGACCUUCCUUUUCUUCAUUUCUAUUGUAUUUCCAGGUAUAUCCUUAAACUCAAGAGGUAUUGGAGAUUGUAUCAACAAGCAUGAACACAUGUGAAGUUGAUUAAUGAUGAAUUACCUGACUGUUGUUAUCUUAGCCUAGAAUUCUUUUUAAUUGAAUUGAUUAAACAAUAUUUUAACUUUAUGGACUGUUUUGGAUUGCUGCAUCCUCUUCGAAAUAUGCGUUUAUCAUGCUGAAGAAUGUUAGAUUGGAUAUUUUUGGUUUACUACCAUGUAUUAAAUUUAAGCUAUGACAAUAUUUCAAUAUUAUUGAUUUAGUUUUGUUAAAAAAUAUUGAACAUCCUGCUAUAAUUUGAAUUCAAAGGCAGCAUGUGUGUCUACCCUAGAAAAUUGAAACGCUAUCUGGGACCAUAGAUUUAAUUGCUUGAGCAUAUUUAUCU
rnacentral:lncRNA from 1 species